CCAAGAUCGAGCUCAAAAUCGAAGACAAAGAAGAACUCGAAGAAGCUCGUCAACGCGCCGCCGCUUCAACCACCGCCGCUUCCGCCGUCCUCAGCCACCUCGACCGCCCCAAAGACCCCUCCUCCAAAACGCACCGCAUCAUCGGAAAUUAAAAAAACAAUGUCUCACGUCUCCAAAGCCCUAAUGGAGGUCGAGGUCAAGCUGCGGCUGCCGGACGCCGCCGCGCACGGCCAGGUCACCACUCUUUUAGCGCCGUUCCACCGCGGGACCCACCGCCAGGAGAAUCUCUUCUUCGACGGCUCCAAAUCCGAGCUCUCGGCGCGCCGGGCCGUGCUCCGGCUCCGGUUCUCCGACCGGAGCCCUCUCUGCGCGGUGACGCUGAAGGCGAAGGCGGUGCUCGUCGACGGCGUCAGCCGAGUGGAGGAGGACGAGGAGGAGAUGGACCCGGCGGUGGGGCGGGCGUGCGCCGCCGAGCCGGAGAAGCUGAUGGCGGCGGAGUCUAGGGUUUUUGAGAAGGGUGAGGGAGGAGUUUGGGGUUUUAGGGUUUGUGGGGAUGGGAGGGUUUGGGAAUGUGAGGGAUGUGUAUGAUUGGAAAGGGUUGAAGUUGGAGGUGGAUGAGACUAAGUAUGAGUUUGGGACUUGUUAUGAGAUUGAGUGUGAGAGUGCUGAUCCUGAUGGAGCUAAGGAGAAGCUUGAGGAGUUUUUGAAGGAAAAUGGGGUGAGGUAUUCCUACUCCCAAGUCUCCAAGUUUGCAACUUUUCGAGCUGGGAAGCUGCCUUGUUGAUUCCAAUGUGGUGAAUUUUCUGAUAAAAUUGUGUGUUCUGAUGCUUAUGUUAAUUGACUAUACUAUGUUGUGGGUUUGCGAAGAACUUUGGAUUGUAUGAGUUUUUGGUUAGUGCACUUUGGUUGAAUAAAGUUUUCAGAUUUUGUGCGG